rnacentral:rRNA from 1 species
UACGAAGGGGGCUAGCGUUGUUCGGAAUCACUGGGCGUAAAGCGCACGCAGGCGGAUUGAUAAGUCAGGGGUGAAAUCCCGGAGCUCAACUUCGGAAUUGCCUUUGAUACUGUCUAUCUUCGAGUUCGGGAGAGGUUGGCGGAAUUCCUGGUGUAGCGGUGAAAUGCGCAGAGUAUCAGGAGGAACACCGGUGGCGAAGGCGGUUCUCUGGGCAUUACCUGACGCUGAGGAGCGAAAGUGUGGGGAGCGAACAGG